GACGAACCUUGCAAACGUUAUUCGGAAUCACUGGGCUUAAAGGGUGCGUAGGCUGUGCAGAAAGUUGGGUGUGAAAUACCUCGGCUUAACCGAGGAAUUGCGCCCAAAACUACUGUGCUCGAGGAAGAUAGAGGUGAGCGGAACUUAGGGUGGAGCGGUGAAAUGCGUUGAUAUCCUAAGGAACACCGGUGGCGAAAGCGGCUCACUGGAUCUUAUCUGACGCUGAGGCACGAAAGCCAGGGUAGCAAACGGG
rnacentral:rRNA from 3 species